UUAAAUGUGAAAACCCCUAAUUGUGGGAGAAAUCCCCAAUUUGAAACCCUAAUUUUUAAAGAAAACCCUAAUUUCGAAAUUGGAAACCCUAAUUUCGAAAUUUCACUAAUUGAAUGACUCAAAAACUCAAUUAAAAUGUAAAUACGCAAUUUUUGGAAGUUAAUGUAUAGAAAUAAAUUGAAAUGCAAUCAUUAGGAUCUCGAAUCCCCAAUUGACUAUUAAAAAUCCUAAUUUCACAAAUUCAACGAAUCGAUGGAAAAAUGCCAAUUCAAUGUUCCUAAACCUAUCCAAUAUACUCUCUCGAUAUAUACUGAAUCUACUCUUGCACACCACCAACCUAUAUUUCUAUGGAUGAUGCAAAUAUACAAGAAUGCAUGAAUUUUUAUGAACACCUUAUGAAUUGCAUAAAGCAUAGGGGUAUAUUUCUAUCCCCUAUCGAACCCUAUGUUAAUUUAUAUUAUAUCGAAUCUAUUCCCCU
rnacentral:lncRNA from 1 species